GUAGGGUGCAAGCGUUAUCCGGAAUCAUUGGGCGUAAAGAGCUCGUAGGCGGGUCCAGCAAGUCGGGCUGUGAAAUCCCGAGGCUUAACCUCGGAACUGCAGUCGAUACUGCUGUGACUAGAGUCCGGUAGAGGAGAAUGGAAUUCCCGGUGUAGCGGUGAAAUGCGCAGAUAUCGGGAGGAACACCAGUAGCGAAGGCGGUUCUCUGGGCCGGUACUGACGCUGAGGAGCGAAAGCGUGGGUAGCAAACAGGAUUAGAUACCCUGGUAGUCCACGCCGUAAACGUUGGACACUAGGUGUGGCGUUCCGACCAACGGGUGCCGUGCCGAAGCUAACGCAUUAAGUGUCCCGCCUGGGGAGUACGGCCGCAAGGCUA
rnacentral:rRNA from 1 species